rnacentral:rRNA from 1 species
GGGCCAGACUCCUACGGGAGGCAGCAGUGGGGAAUAUUGGGCAAUGGGCGCAAGCCUGACCCAGCAACGCCGCGUGAAGGAAGAAGGCUUUCGGGUUGUAAACUUCUUUUAUGAGGGACGAAAGAAAUGACGGUACCUCAUGAAUAAGCCACGGCUAACUACGUGCCAGCAGCCGCGGUAAUACGUAGGUGGCAAGCGUUAUCCGGAUUUACUGGGUGUAAAGGGCGUGUAGGCGGGACUGCAAGUCAGGUGUGAAAACUCCGGGCUCAACCUGGAGACUGCACUUGAAACUGGGUGUCUUGAGGGCAGGAGAGGAAAGUGGAAUUCCUAGUGUAGCGGUGAAAUGCGUAGAUAUUAGGAGGAACACCAGUGGCGAAGGCGACUUUCUGGACUGUACCUGACGCUGAGGCGCGAAAGCGUGGGUAGCGAACGGGAUUAGAUACCCGUGUA